ensembl:lncRNA
UGAAGGGUUUCUGAUGGUCAUUUCUAUCUCUUUGAAGACAUCCUUGGCAUCCAAGUCCUCAGAACAGUAGCAUUUACCACUUUGGUUUUGAGGCUGCAUCUGGAGCGCGCUGUGGAUCUUUUACAGUCUGUGCAAUCACACAUCACUGCACAGCUCACAAAACCAGCUGCCACGGUUCGGCAUUCACAGCACAACUCUGACCCUAACUCAGCUCCUCGUAUUGACAAGCCAUCGGCUUCGGGGCGUAUUAGCUACAAUAAUGCUCACUUUUUGCCUACUGUAGCCAAGAAAGCGAUGCAUUGCCAGCCACGUGAUUGCCUUUGUCCUAUCCAGAGGGAGACUAGCCUUCAGAAAUGCUGCAAAAAGGAAAUGACAUUCAGAGUCCAACCUGGCUCUUUCUCCCUCACUGCCAGCUUCCACUCAUGAGUCAGGAGACUUCAGUUCUUCACACCCAGAGCUGACUGUGGGGUGGCCAAAGUCACUUCUCCACCAUCUCCAUUUUGGAUGCUACUAGGAUGAACUGGAAUCAAAACUAAAAGCAAGACGUUCACCAACAGUUAACUUGUAUUUAAUAGAAAACU